AACCAUUGUUGUGUGUCAAACGUCAACCAAAGGUCAAAACACUUUUACACAGAAGAGGCUUCACCGACCCCCACUCAUACUGCAACCACAAAACUAUCACAAGAUUUCACUUUACAUAAAUAAUAAUGUAUCUAUAUUGUUAAGUUUCAGAUGUAAGAACAAGAUAUCAAGAUAAUAAGGGACAUUUGAACAUUUCUCUCACAAUCCCAAAGAAUAUUAUGUUGACUUACCAUCCCUGACAUUUAUGACACAAUAGUUGUCUCAUAAAUAGUAUUUCUUUAUAUCAUAAUUAUAGCAUUUGCCCAAUGAACAAGAGGCCUAAAUAGAUGAGAAUGUGUUAGAUGAAAGUUCAUACAAUUUUUCAGUUUACAGGACAUUAUGGUUACCAAAGAGUUUAUUUUCCUUAAAAAGUGCGAUAUGUAAGAAUUGGCUAGUUGUUGAAUUCAUAAUCACAUAAAAUAGCAGGCAUUAUGUCCACAAGCUGCUGCGGGGCAGGGCUAGCUAGUCGGCAUGCUAACAUUAAUUGUAAGUUGGUUCUAAUUUAUAGUUUUUGCUUCUAAAUGUUUUAAUAGGUGGAUCAAACCCAAAUGAUGCCACAUAUUACACCAUCCCCGACCUUCAACCAAUGAAAAUGGCGACUGGUAAAGACUUUAUAGACAUUUAUAACCAAAUAUUCUGAAGACAAAACAGUUCAUAUUCAUCAUAUUAUCAUUUUUCCUCACAGAAACAUCUGGACAUGACAAGUCCCUGUACUCUGAGAUCUGCUAUACUUUCAUCGGUGGAAAUAAUAAAGAAGGUUCUUCACAGCCGACUGACAACACGUACUGUUUACUGCAGAACCCCAAAACAUCUGGAAAGCAUCCAAAGUGACCAAUCAGCUGUUUGUGAUGUCAGACAUGACUUCGGUUGAUGAUGUCAGUUGUUUUAUUUAAACUGUGAACAUGUAUAAUAUUUUGACUUGUGUUUUAUGUAAAUAUUAGAAAGAUACAUUUUUUUACAAUACAACAUCUGUUAUUUUUAGAUUCUUACCUGUUGAAACCGACCCAGUCUGCAGAAUAAAUGUUUGUACAGUUCUGGAAAACAGCAAAUAACCUGAAGCUUUUAUUUCUUUAUGUUGCAGCUUCAUGCUUGUUUACGUUUGAAUUUCUCUCUUGUCACAAUGUUGUGCUGAUGCUCUUGUUGGAUUUGGACAGAAAAACCACUUCAUCACAUUGUGGUUUGGCUUAAAGUACCUGCUCUGGUCGCUACAAACUUGUCUGAAAAUGUUCCAGAGUUUCCUUAACGACGCCUGGUUCGGUUGCCAUAAACACAACUACAGAUGGCCCAACUUCAGGCAAAGAAAUAUCCAGUUUUGAUGCCACAUACACGGCUGAAAAUGACCAGCAGUCUCUGUUAAAACACCCAGAUUAGGUCACCAGAAACACGACUGGAGAUGUACUGACAUGUCCUUACAAAUAUCCACUGAUGUCACUCUGACAUCACAAACAUCCAGUAGUUUCACACUGCAGGUGUAUCCCCUCCACUUCUGAUGUACAGGUCAGGUAAUAAACAUGUAAUGUGAAUGUGACAUGGAACACUUUGGACAAACAUGUUACGCAGCGUCUGACACGUUCAGACUUCAACAAAUGUCCAGACGACUCGGCUCAAUGAAACAAAUCAUGUUUUCUGUAAGAACUUCCUUCUCGUGCCUUUGUUCCCCGUUUGAGUUUAAAUCUCUAUGUAAAUGAACAUUAUUUAUUAAAAAACAUCAACAUUUGAGUUUUGAUCAUUAACUUACCGACAUCAUCAUGAUAUCAAGAGAACGUUUCAAUCUGCUGUGAAUGGAACAGUACUGUUGAGCAAGGCAUCGUUAAAGAUGUCA
ensembl:lncRNA